AAGCUAAAAUACCUGGGCCGCCCCUCCCCGGGAAGGGACGCUCCCGGCGCACUGGGAGGGCCCGGAAGUCGGGCCCGGGACUGAGGAGCCGGCCCACCGCCUCCUGGUCGGAGGCUGCAGUGCAGCGUGCACCCUGCUCUGUCCCGAAAUCUGGAACUCAUUACCUCAUCACCAAGAAACUGCACGAAAUCGUCCCCCCCGCCCCAACACCCACUUGGGGCUGGGAAAGGAACGAGCAAACAUCCCUCUAAGAAAGAAACCUACACUUGAAUGCUUGAAAUUAAGGUGGAUGGAAGUUAUUUCCCUUUCUGGCGCUUGCCAGAAAAGAAAAGCUGAAAAACGGGAGAAGGGGGAGAGAAGCAACAGGCGGCUGGAGAGCAGCAGCAGAACAGGCUAGGGGCAGCAGCCGUGUUAAAGUGGGGGCCAUCAAUUUCAGGCAGAGGAGACAAAUGAAAGCCGAUCCCGCUGGGAUCACGUAGGUUCGUGGCUGCAGCAAAAGUUGUGUUUCGCAAAGUUGAAAACAACCGGUUUCUCAAACAGUUGUGAUUUGGAAGGUUUUGCUGGGUUUGCCCAGAGGUUGACGAAUAAAUAAAAAAUGCAGUU